rnacentral:rRNA from 1 species
ACAUCCAGAGAACUUAGCAGAGAUGCUUUGGUGCCUUCGGGAACUCUGAGACAGGUGCUGCAUGGCUGUCGUCAGCUCGUGUUGUGAAAUGUUGGGUUAAGUCCCGNAACGAGCGCAACCCUUAUCCUUUGUUGCCAGCGGUUCGGCCGGGAACUCAAAGGAGACUGCCGGUGAUAAACCGGAGGAAGGUGGGGAUGACGUCAAGUCAUCAUGGCCCUUACGGCCAGGGCUACACACGUGCUACAAUGGCGCAUACAAAGAGAAGCGACCUCGCGAGAGCAAGCGGACCUCAUAAAGUGCGUCGUAGUCCGGAUUGGAGUCUGCAACUCGACUCCAUGAAGUCGGAAUCGCUAGUAAUCGUAGAUCAGAAUGCUACGGUGAAUACGUUCCCGGGCCUUGUACACACCGCCCGUCACACCAUGGGAGUGGGUUGCAAAAGAAGUAGGUAGCUUAACCUUCGGGAGGGCGCUUACCGCUUUGUGAUUCAUGACUGGGGUGAAGUCGUAACAAGGUAGGCGUAGCGAG